AGUGAACGCUGGCGGUAGGCCUAACACAUGCAAGUCGAACGGCAGCACAGUAAGAGCUUGCUCUUACGGGUGGCGAGUGGCGGACGGGUGAGGAAUACAUCGGAAUCUACUUUUUCGUGGGGGAUAACGUAGGGAAACUUACGCUAAUACCGCAUACGACCUACGGGUGAAAGCAGGGGAUCUUUGGACCUUGCGCGAUUGAAUGAGCCGAUGUCGGAUUUGCUAGUUGGCGGGGUAAAGGCCCACCAAGGCGACGAUCCGUAGCUGGUGUCAGAGGAUGAUCAGCCACACUGGAACUGAGCGACGGUCCAUACUCCUACGGGAGGCAGCAGUGGGGAAUAUUGGACAAUUGGCGCAAGCCUGAUCCAGCCAUACCGCGUGAGUGAAGAAGGCCUUCGGGUUGUAAAGCCCUUUUGUUGGGAAAGAAAAGCAGCAGGUUAACACCCCGCUGUUCUGACGGUACCCAAAGAAUGAGCACCGGCUAACUUCGUG
rnacentral:rRNA from 1 species